rnacentral:lncRNA from 1 species
UUUUAAAUUGUGGAGGUCUCAACUUCUAAUAUUUUAGGCCAAUUUGCAUAAAAAAUCCACUAGUUUUGCGCUUUUGCAAAAGUGGGCCACCUUUUUCGAUUUUACAGAUUCGAACUGGAUUUUCAGCCGCCUGACCAAAAUGCCCCUCAUCUACAUACGCCUUUUGUAUAUUCUCUGAGAUACAUAUACUCUAACGUACGGUGCUGGCGGGCAUUAAAUGUGCCCCUUACGCUUUACGCAACCUCGCUCUCAUCGGAACCCAAACCAAAUCAGCCCUGCUAUUCGUCAGCCCUGGUGUUUGCUGUUCGGCUUUAAGAAAUUAAAUUU